rnacentral:rRNA from 1 species
AUCGAUGAAGAACGCAGCGAAAUGCGAUAAGUAAUGUGAAUUGCAGAAUUCAGUGAAUCAUCGAAUCUUUGAACGCACCUUGCGCUCUUUGGUAUUCCGAAGAGCACACCUGUUCGAGUGUCGUGAAUAUCUCAAUCCAAAUAGUUUUUAUUAAUUGUUUGAAUUGGUUUUGGACUCUGUCGUCUCUUUAAUGAACGACUGGUCUUAAAAAUAUUAGCUGGUCUCAGAUUGGGAAUGGUUUGACUUGGCGUGAUAAUAACUGAUCGUCGAGGACAUCUUUUGGGAUGGCCAUUAACUAACUAAGUCCGCUUCUAAUUGUCUUUUUUGGACAAAAUUUUCAACUUUGACCUCGAAUCAGGUGGGACUACCCGCUGAACUUAAGCAUAUCAAUAAGCGGAGGAAAAGAAACUAACAAGGAUUCCCCUAGUAACGGCGAGUGAAGCGGGAUGAGCUCAAAUUUAAAAUCUGGCAGUCUUCGAUUGUCCGAGUUGUAAUCUAGAGAAGCGUUUUCCGCGCUGGACUGUGUACAAGUUUCCUGGAUACGGAACAUCAUAGAGGGUGAGAAUCCCGUCCUUGACACAGACUCCCAGUGCUAUGUGAUACGCUCUCGACGAGUCGAGUUGUUUGGGAUUGCAGCUCAAAAUGGGAGGUAAAUUCCUUCUAAAGCUAAAUAUUGGCGAGAGACCGAUAGCGAACAAGUACCGUGAGGGAAAGAUGAAAAGCACUUUGGAAAGAGAGUUAAACAGUACGUGAAAUUGUUAAAAGGGAAACGAUUGAAGUCAGUCGCCUUCGUUUGGACUCAGCUUAGCCUCGGUUAGGUGCAUUUCCUUAUGAACGGGCCAACGUCCAUGUUGCCUGCUGGAAAAGGGGUGGAGAAAUGUGGCUUCUUCGGGAGUGUUAUAGUCUCUGCUCGUAUACAGUAUAGUGAUAUGGAGUGGUACAGCAUGCUUCGGCGGUGCUUGUGUUGGCAUAAUGGCUUUAAACGACCCGUCUUGAAACACGG